UAAAGAGUAUGUAGGUUUCAGAGAGGGAGGGGCUUGAGCAGGUUUCAAGGCCCAUAGGAAGAAUCAGUGGGAGGGAGUUGUUGAAGAUAAAGGGGCAGCAUAGCCCUUGGAGGGCUGGAUGAUUUUCACAAACCCACCCAAGUAAUUUCACGACUUACCAAUAACCUUGACAUGGAAAGUGCAGCUGGCUUGGUUGCUGGAGAGGUCAACUGCUGUAUAUGUGAUAGCAACAUCUCCAAUUGGGAAAAGUUCUAGGUCUUCACAGAAAAGAGGAGAAAUCUGAGAGCAAGAGAAAUAAAUCACCAAAGGCACCAUGCCAUCAAAGACUUACCCACACACUGGGGUUCUAGGCCAUCCCACUGGGCGUUUGCUUGACAGAAACAUCUUGGCGGUUAUCAGCUACGAUUACUGGAAGUGUGAUUCUUGAAGCUAUCACGUUGUGCUAAUGUUAGAUUUUUCUUCAGCUGACAGUGCAAUUCUUUGACUGAAAUAAAUUAAAAUGUCAACCAG